CAUUUGCAGCACAGCGGAAUGUUUUGAUUGGAUUUUUGUUUUUAUUUGACAACUGCACACAUUUUCUUAUGCUGGUUCUGAAAGAUAUCACAUGAGCAACUUCACAUUUGGUGUGUGUCAUCUAAUCACCUAUGGAAGGAAAAGUUAUGAAAAUCCGGCGUUCUCGUCAGAGGCCUUACCCACUGCGGUGUUUCCCGACAGCCGGAUCCUGUCUCGUCUAUAGUUAUUUUCUGCAUAAUCUAACCAAACGUCCACUUUGUUGGUCUUGUAGCCACACUUUGCCGUCAGAUCCUCAUCAGCCCUCAUCACUUCCUCUCUCGACUGUCACGCCUCCUCUCUCUCUCCGCCUGUUUCUGUCUCCACCUAGAUGUUGGGACUGGACACUGACAACGGCCCCAGACGUACGAUCUUGAAACUUUACAGGAAAACCGAUCCGGGUUUUAAAAACCUGUCCGUCCACAUUGAUGACCACCGCCUGACGCCGUGCUGUGUGACUGGCCCUGCAGCUCCACUAACAUGAUGACAGGGAUAACACCUUCAUCACCUCCUCU